UACGUAGGGUGCGAGCGUUAAUCGGAAUUACUGGGCGUAAAGCGCGCGCAGGCGGUCCUUUAAGUCUGAUGUGAAAGCCCACGGCUCAACCGUGGAGGGUCAUUGGAAACUGGGGGACUUGAGUACAGAAGAGGAAAGCGGAAUUCCACGUGUAGCGGUGAAAUGCGUAGAGAUGUGGAGGAACACCAGUGGCGAAGGCGGCUUUCUGGUCUGUAACUGACGCUGAGGCGCGAAAGCGUGGGGAGCAAACAGG
rnacentral:rRNA from 1 species